CUCCCUCCCUCCCUCCCUCCCUCCCUUACUGGCAGGGUCUUCCUCUGUCUCUGCCGCCCAGGAUCACCCCAACCUCAAUGCUUUGGACCGACCAAACGGUCGUCCUGCCUCUGAUCCCUCCCAUCCCCAUUACCUGAGACUACAGGCACGCACCACCACACCGGCUGACUUCUAUGUUGCUUCUCAUGUUUUCCGUAGGCGUCAUCUCACGUGUCGGGGUGAUCUCCUAACUUUUAGGCUCCAGAGAUCCUCCCGCAUCGGCCUCCCGGAGUGCUGUGAUGACACGCGUGGGCACGACGGAGUUUCACUCUUGUCGCCCACGGUGGAGUACGAUGGCGGAUCUCGGCUCACCGCACCCUCCGCCUCCCAGGUUCAAGUGAUUCUCCUGCCUCAGCCUUCCCGAGUAGCUGCGAUGACAGCGAUGAGCCAUCGUGCCUGGCUAAUUUUUCUAUUCCUAGUACAGAUGGGGUUUCUCCAUCUUGGUUAGGCUGGUCUUCAACUUCCGACCGUUGGAGGAUCUUAACUUUCUUGGUGGUGGUUGUUUUCUUUUCUUUUUUCUUU
rnacentral:lncRNA from 1 species